rnacentral:rRNA from 1 species
CACGUAGGGGCCAAGCGUUGUCCGGAUUUAUUGGGCGUAAAGCGUGCGCAGGCGGUUGUGUAAGACAGAUGUGAAAUCCCCGGGCUAACCUGGGAACUGCAUUUGUGACUGCACAGCUGGAGUGCGGCAGAGGGGAUGGAAUUCCGCGUGUAGCAGUGAAAUGCGUAGAUAUGCGGAGGAACACCGAUGGCGAAGGCAAUCCCCUGGGCCUGCACUGACGCUCAUGCACGAAAGCGUGGGGAGCAAACAGG